GAACUAGAUUUGCCCAGGGUUCGUAGUUUAUAACAAGGGGCACGCUAUUUAUAAUGCACGAUGGGUGUUUAACGUGUUGGAAGAAGAAGAUAUUGCCCAAACCACUAGGUGGAAUAUCAGUAGGAGGCCCACAUACUUCCCUUAUUCAUACGAAACACGGCACAAUUUUCAGCAAGACCGCAAACGUCAAGUAAGGGUGAAAUGGACAUACAUGUUUUUUGCUCAGAAUCCAGUUAAUUAUUCCAGCCAUGUACCUAGAAGAAUCUCAAAAGCUUUUAUGUUUGAUGCUGGUCCAUGCACCCAUGUUGGAGAAUCUGGUAUGUUAUAGCACCUAUUCCAUCUAUAAGAUAGCGAGAUAUGGUGUCCAACUGUUGGAUUUGCUUGAUUAUGAAGAUAUUGAGAAACAUCAAAAUGUCUCAUUAGCUUCUGUUGCUAACAAGCGGCAACUGUUGAUCCACAGGAAAAAAGAAGGGUGACAAUCGUUGGUGUCUUUUGUUCUUCACUUUUUCCAUACAUGUUAAGAAGCAUCCAUACAUGUGAUGUAUCAUGCAUCAUUAUCUGAUCACGGAACAGUUCUGUUAUUCCGGUAAAAGGACCGAUACAUUUGCUCACCAUUCGUAACGAGCAACUGCAUUUUUCUGACCGAUCUGAUGGAAGAGACUAGUCAAUGCAUCAACACUCCCCCUCAAGACCUCUUGGCUCUGAUACCAUGUAGAAGUGGGUGCUCUAGCCAAUGCAACCAAAAGACCGAUCUGAUGAAAAAGACUAGGCAAUACAACAACAAUGAGCAUUCUGUGGUUCUCUUGCAGUGCGAAUUGUCACUCAUGGAAUGAUUCUUGUGGCUGUUUCGCACGAUCAUAUGUAAUCUGUCUGCUGUUUCGCAUGUUGGUUCACAUGAUCAUAUGUAAUCUGUCUGUUGUGCACGUUGUAUAAUGCAACCAGUGUUAUUGUCAUUGAUGAUAGAAUAUGCUGUAGAAUACCAGUAAUCCUGAAUAUGUGCUAAAGUUGCCACGCUA